AUACUUACCUGGCAAGGGAGACACCGUGAUCAAGAAGGCGGUUCACCUAGGGCGAGGCUCAGCCAUUGCACUCCGGCUGUGCUGACCCCUGCGAAUUUCCCAAAUGUGGAAAUCUCGAUUGCAUAAUUUCUGGUAGUGGGGGACUGUGUUCGCGCUCUCCCCUG
rnacentral:snRNA from 8 species